GGGAAACCGAGUCUUAACCGGGCGUUAAGUUGCAGGGUAUAGACCCGAAACCCGGUGAUCUAGCCAUGGGCAGGUUGAAGGUUGGGUAACACUAACUGGAGGACCGAACCGACUAAUGUUGAAAAAUUAGCGGAUGACUUGUGGCUGGGGGUGAAAGGCCAAUCAAACCGGGAGAUAGCUGGUUCUCCCCGAAAGCUAUUUAGGUAGCGCCUCGUGAAUUCAUCUCCGGGGGUAGAGCACUGUUUCGGCAAGGGGGUCAUCCCGACUUACCAACCCGAUGCAAACUGCGAAUACCGGAGAAUGUUAUCACGGGAGACACACGGCGGGUGCUAACGUCCGUCGUGAAGAGGGAAACAACCCAGACCGCCAGCUAAGGUCCCAAAGUCAUGGUUAAGUGGGAAACGAUGUGGGAAGGCCCAGACAGCCAGGAUGUUGGCUUAGAAGCAGCCAUCAUUUAAAGAAAGCGUAAUAGCUCACUGGUCGAGUCGGCCUGCGCGGAAGAUGUAACGGGGCUAAACCAUGCACCGAAGCUGCGGCAGCGACACUGUGUGUUGUUGGGUAGGGGAGCGUUCUGUAAGCCUGUGAAGGUGUGCUGUGAGGCAUGCUGGAGGUAUCAGAAGUGCGAAUGCUGACAUAAGUAACGAUAAAGCGGGUGAAAAGCCCGCUCGCCGGAAGACCAAGGGUUCCUGUCCAACGUUAAUCGGGGCAGGGUGAGUCGACCCCUAAGGCGAGGCCGAAAGGCGUAGUCGAUGGGAAACAGGUUAAUAUUCCUGUACUUGGUGUUACUGCGAAGGGGGGACGGAGAAGGCUAUGUUGGCCGGGCGACGGUUGUCCCGGUUUAAGCGUGUAGGCUGGUUUUCCAGGCAAAUCCGGAAAAUCAAGGCUGAGGCGUGAUGACGAGGCACUACGGUGCUGAAGCAACAAAUGCCCUGCUUCCAGGAAAAGCCUCUAAGCAUCAGGUAACAUCAAAUCGUACCCCAAACCGACACAGGUGGUCAGGUAGAGAAUACCAAGGCGCUUGAGAGAACUCGGGUGAAGGAACUAGGCAAAAUGGUGCCGUAACUUCGGGAGAAGGCACGCUGAUAUGUAGGUGAAGUCCCUCGCGGAUGGAGCUGAAAUCAGUCGAAGAUACCAGCUGGCUGCAACUGUUUAUUAAAAACACAGCACUGUGCAAACACGAAAGUGGACGUAUACGGUGUGACGCCUGCCCGGUGCCGGAAGGUUAAUUGAUGGGGUCAGCGCAAGCGAAGCUCUUGAUCGAAGCCCCGGUAAACGGCGGCCGUAACUAUAACGGUCCUAAGGUAGCGAAAUUCCUUGUCGGGUAAGUUCCGACCUGCACGAAUGGCGUAAUGAUGGCCAGGCUGUCUCCACCCGAGACUCAGUGAAAUUGAACUCGCUGUGAAGAUGCAGUGUACCCGCGGCAAGACGGAAAGACCCCGUGAACCUUUACUAUAGCUUGACACUGAACAUUGAGCCUUGAUGUGUAGGAUAGGUGGGAGGCUUUGAAGUGUGGACGCCAGUCUGCAUGGAGCCGACCUUGAAAUACCACCCUUUAAUGUUUGAUGUUCUAACGUGGACCCGUGAUCCGGGUUGCGGACAGUGUCUGGUGGGUAGUUUGACUGGGGCGGUCUCCUCCUAAAGAGUAACGGAGGAGCACGAAGGUUGGCUAAUCCUGGUCGGACAUCAGGAGGUUAGUGCAAUGGCAUAAGCCAGCUUGACUGCGAGCGUGACGGCGCGAGCAGGUGCGAAAGCAGGUCAUAGUGAUCCGGUGGUUCUGAAUGGAAGGGCCAUCGCUCAACGGAUAAAAGGUACUCCGGGGAUAACAGGCUGAUACCGCCCAAGAGUUCAUAUCGACGGCGGUGUUUGGCACCUCGAUGUCGGCUCAUCACAUCCUGGGGCUGAAGUAGGUCCCAAGGGUAUGGCUGUUCGCCAUUUAAAGUGGUACGCGAGCUGGGUUUAGAACGUCGUGAGACAGUUCGGUCCCUAUCUGCCGUGGGCGCUGGAGAACUGAGGGGGGCUGCUCCUAGUACGAGAGGACCGGAGUGGACGCAUCACUGGUGUUCGGGUUGUCAUGCCAAUGGCACUGCCCGGUAGCUAAAUGCGGAAGAGAUAAGUGCUGAAAGCAUCUAAGCACGAAACUUGCCCCGAGAUGAGUUCUCCCUGACCCUUUAAGGGUCCUGAAGGAACGUUGAAGACGACGACGUUGAUAGGCCGGGUGUGUAAGCGCAGCGAUGCGUUGAGCUAACCGGUACUAAUGAACCGUGAGGCUUAACCUUACAACGCCGAAGGUGUUU
rnacentral:rRNA from 1 species